rnacentral:rRNA from 1 species
UACGGAGGGAGCUAGCGUUGUUCGGAAUUACUGGGCGUAAAGCGCACGUAGGCGGCUUUGUAAGUUAGAGGUGAAAGCCUGGGGCUCAACUCCAGAACUGCCUUUAAAACUGCAUCGCUUGAAUCCAGGAGAGGUGAGUGGAAUUCCGAGUGUAGAGGUGAAAUUCGUAGAUAUUCGGAAGAACACCAGUGGCGAAGGCGGCUCACUGGACUGGUAUUGACGCUGAGGUGCGAAAGCAUGGGGAGCAAACAGG